UGGGGAAUAUUGCGCAAUGGGCGAAAGCCUGACGCAGCCAUGCCGCGUGUGUGAAGAAGGCCUUAGGGUUGUAAAGCACUUUCAAUUGGGAGGAAGAGGUUAAAGUUAAUAGCUUUGACUUUUGACGUUACCUUUAGAAGAAGCACCGGCUAACUCCGUGCCAGCAGCCGCGGUAAUACGGAGGGUGCGAGCGUUAAUCGGAAUUACUGGGCGUAAAGCGCGCGUAGGCGGUUUGUUAAGUCGGAUGUGAAAGCCCCGGGCUCAACCUGGGAACUGCACCCGAUACUGGCCGACUUGAGUGCGAGAGAGGGAGGUAGAAUUCCAUGUGUAGCGGUGAAAUGCGUAGAUAU
rnacentral:rRNA from 1 species